rnacentral:rRNA from 1 species
GAUGAACGCUGGCGGCGUGCCUAAUACAUGCAAGUCGAGCGAAUGGAUUAAGAGCUUGCUCUUAUGAGGUUAGCGGCGGACGGGUGAGUAGCACGUGGGUAACCUGCCCAUAAGACUGGGAUAACUCCGGGAAACCGGGGCUAAUACCGGAUAACAUUUUGAACCGCAUGGUUCGAAAUUGAAAGGCGGCUUCGGCUGUCACUUAUGGAUGGACCCGCGUCGCAUUAGCUAGUUGGUGAGGUAACGGCUCACCAAGGCAACGAUGCGUAGCCGACCUGAGAGGGUGAUCGGCCACGCGGGGACUGAGACACGGCCCAGACUCCUACGGGAGGCAGCAGUAGGGAAUCUUCCGCAAUGGACGAAAGUCUGACGGAGCAACGCCGCGUGAGUGAUGAAGGCUUUCGGGUCGUAAAACUCUGUUGUUAGGGAAGAACAAGUGCUAGUUGAAUAAGCUGGCACCUUGACGGUACCUAACCAGAAAGCCACGGCUAACUACGUGCCAGCCGCCGCGGUAA